UGCUGGAUAGCUCAGUUGGUACAGCAUGCAACUUUUAAUCUCAGGGUCAUGGGUUUGAGCCCCACAUUGGGCGA